CUCUGCGUCCGAAUGCAGUUCCAAGAUGUUACGCUGCUGGUUUGGAAGAUGGAAGAAAGGAACCCAAGAGAAUGCAGGUGACUUUUAGAAGCUGGAAAUACGAGAGAAGUAACUCUUCUCUAGAACCUCAGCAAGGAACCAGCCAUGCUAACGCCUUAAGGCCAGAGAGACUCAUUUUUGGCUUCUGACCCUACAGAAUGUAAGCCAUAAUAUGAUACCCUGAGGAUGGUGAGAUUUAUUAGCACCAGGAGAUGCUAUAACAUUUUGGAUUCACAUCAGCAGUGUUUGAAAAUGCCUGCCUUUCCAGUCUCAAUUUGUAAUGGUGGAUGGACAUUGCUUGUGCCAUAUGCAAUUGUCAUAUCCCAGGCAUCAAUAAAGCCCACGUUGAGAUCCUGGAAAAUGUCCUUCAAGGCAAGAUACUGCACAUAACCAUGGAAGUCAGCAAAUCUCUCCACAUCGUGGCUCAUCUCUCUGGUGUUUUCUGCCUUGAUGACAACCACAGUGUCUGGGCUUCUCAGAAGAAGACGCAGAACAGCUUCAUGUAUAUUGAGGGCCCUUCGUAGGAACACAUCAACAGGGAAGGGUCUGAAAUGCUGGCCCAGAGAAAUAACAACAAUAGUAUUUUUUCCUCCACCAGUUCUGUCAAUAACGCGGGCCAGGUACUCCAUCUCCUUGACGGAAUAGGCCAUUGAUCCUAUCAGAGGGUAACUAUGUUUUUGCCACUGGAUGUGAAUGUUGUUAUCCAGGUCCACAGCAAGUUGGUGUUUCAGUUUUCCAGACUCAUGCAGAUCCACUAACCUCAGUGCUGAGGACAGAUGGUGACCCCAGAAAGAAAGGAGAGCAGGAACAUAAGAGUCAGUGUUGAGAAUUGAGUAAGUUUAUCAUGACUGAAUCACUGUGGGUUAAAGACUUUUGUUAGGGGAAUUUUAGGACUUUAUCAGUUGAGGGUAAAUCUUUUUUCUUUUUUCUUUAUGCAUACAAGAACUGGGGUACAGGCUAGAGCUGCUGCUGGGAGAGUGGGGGUACAUGUCAGCCAGGCCCCAAACUCAUCAGGGGAGGGAGCUCAAGUCCAGCACACAUGUAGGUGCAUAUGGGGAGGGGCAAGUGAGGAUAAGACAGUAACAUAAAGUUUGAAAAGGGGUCAAAGACUGAGACACCCUUGAAAAUGCAUUAGGGAUGUGAGCUCUGAUCAUGCAAGAGUAUUUCUUACCUUAUCUUACAGAGACUAACCAGACUAAACAAUAAAGGUACUA